CCUGAGUCUAUUUCCAGCCUCCCUGAGACCACCCAGAAUUUCCUCUUCUUCCUGGGGACCCAGGCUUUUGCUGUGCCCCUUCUGCUGAUCUCCAGGAGCCAGACGUUUGGAUAUAAUGGAAGAGCGUGUCAGGAGUGGCUUCCGUUCCUGUCUCCUUCAGCAUCCUGAUGGCGUACACUGUGGCUCUGGCUAACUCCUACGGACGCCUCAUCUCUGAGCUCAAACGUCAGAGAGAGACGGAGGCGCAGAAUAAAGUCUUCCUGGCACGGCGCGCUGUGGCGCUGACCUCCACCAAACCGGCUCUUUGACCCCCGCAGCCCACGUCCCGCUUUCAGACCCCAGGCCCAUUGUAAGCCUAGGUCACAACAUCUGUAAACUAGGAGAACUGGAGAAGACUCCACGCCCUUCCAGCUUUGGUAUCUGGAGAUUUCCAGGGCCCCUCGCCGCCACGUCCCUGACUCUCGGGUGAUCUUCCUUGUAUCAAUAAAUACAGCCGAGGUUGCUGA
rnacentral:lncRNA from 1 species